rnacentral:lncRNA from 1 species
CUCGGAGGCAGGAACGACCGGAGCACGGAGUAGUAUUGAUCACGGGCGCUUGUCCCGCGGCGCGCCCAGAGAUGGCGCCAGCGUCGACUGCCAUAUUGCUCGGGCCCACGGCCGGGAUUUUCCCUGUAUUUACGCUCCGAAUUUCGGGGAAAAUGUGAGCGACGUCGAGUGGACGGGUUUCGGAACGGCCGUCGCUAACUUUUGCGGUAACUUUAACGGUGACUUUCGCGGUGACUUUGGCGGCGACUCCCGCUGGGCGAUCGACGAUUGCAUGCGGACAUCUAUUUUUAGAACACGUUCGGCGCGGCGCAUCGCCGAGUCUUCGUGAAUCUCCACUAUUGUGUUCAGCAAAACCAGCUUCCAAGGCAUUCCUCUCUUGGAAGACAGCCCAACUCAUCAUCAGUGACUUCCUACAAUCUCACAACAACAACAACUGGAGGUCAACGAUAGGGCUGCAAUAUACACUCGCACACUCGGAGAAAAAAAUAGAAACAUAUUCAAACUCUUUCUAACACAUUAAUUGGAAAUAACUCGACAGACGACUAAAUUUUCCGGACACCAAAUUGUAUAGUUCUACGCUAAAUCUAAACAUUUUUAAUCUUCACGAACCCAAGCUUGGCCUACUCACUUCUGUAAUUACUCCGAAUCAUUUUUCUUCGCAUCGUUACACUCGCGCUGUAGCACAGCAAGCUUUACCGUAGUGUGCGCACGUAUCAUUUAUCGCUUUUACGAGAGAGGAUUGCGUUAAAUUAAUCACUUUAAACCAAAUAGACUAAUUAAAUCAAUUAAUAAAAUCAAAAUUUGGGACAUAAUUGCGUCAAUUGAACAGCACUGAAACUGUCAAAAAGUUAGUCAGUCUAGACAUACAUAAAAGAGAGCACAUUCAGUCUCGUUAAAUUAGGAAUUUCAUAAGCAAUCUUAUAAUUUAGUGUUAGUUAAUAACCCAAUUGUGAUUAAUUUUAGAAAUUAACGCAUUGAUUUUUUUAUCGUUACACCACUCAAGAAGAUUGAGUUUUAAUUAUACCAAAGUUCGUAACGCUUAGAAUUUCCGGUAACUUUUACCUGUACACAAUAUUGUAACUUAACGCUCAACAUAAAAUAUUCAAACAGAGAUACAUUCAUUAUACCCGAUUCGCUAAACAAUCAAAAUAAUAUGUGCAAAUCGUUAUUGAAAUAGAGUAAUCUAAGUCCCCUCUUCCUCCAAUGUCAUUUAGUCCGUAGUAUAAUGAUAUGCGUGUUGUAAUUUACCACGCUUGCUUUUACCGAUUACAUCAUUAACUUUGAAAGUAACCCGAUAUGUUGAAAAACCAUUGCAAAUUCGAGAGCUAUCUGUGAAAUUCCACGUACCAAAAAGACUGACAGAGAUGUAAAUAAAUUUAAAUGUCUCUAGCCGCUUACUUGAAACUGCACAAAAUGCGUCACAUUUAUCUAAUGAGCCGUGACAGGUCAAACUUCAAGACCUGACAUUGAAGAGGGCAACCUAGAGACGAAAUUUACUCGCAAUCACCUCUCUGCAGAGAAUUCUUGCAAAAACUGCCUGUGAUAAAACCGAAUCCAUGAUCCAAGAGGCUUCGGUUACUGAUUGUUGAGCUGGCGG